UCCCUGGUCGUAUACCGGUUAAUACACGCGCCUUCUAUUGAGGCUCACGCAAAUAUCUAGCACGCGCGUAAGCUGGGUUCGAGUCCCAGUCAGGGAU